AUGUUGAUGACUUCCGGAGCGAUUUCUGCUAUUGUUUUUAUCAUUAGCUUGCUAGCUAUCUAACUGUUGUCGAUGCAUUUCUGACUGAAAUAGUUCGCAAUGACUACAUUUAAAUUACAGCCCCGCGAAUGAGGUGCUAAUGAACAUUGUUCAGUUUCUUCCAAAUGUAAUGGUAUUGUGAGCUUCCAUGGUUUCCCGGUCGAUGAAGAGCUCAGAGAAAAAGGUGGUUGGUGGCAGUACGUCGUGACAACUUUACUGUCACCUAACACACAAAAGUGUGUAGUACACAUUUCAUCGAGAGUGACUUUGUUGAGGGAAAAAUGGGGGGGGGGGGGUGAUAAUACCUAAAAAGAGGUUUUGUUCCUACAGUCUUCGCGUGGAACUGGAACAUUCAAAAGAGACCAGGUGUUUGGGAAAGAGCACUGAAACCUCCUGCUCCGACUGAGGAGGAUGAAGAACAAGGUGCGCUGCCUAUGGACUUUGCCGUCUCUGAUCAGGUCCAGACACAUGAUUACUGUGCAGUCUCUGAACCCGCAGCCCUUGACAUGGCCCUAAUGGCAAACCAUGAGCAUGUAAAAUAAAUUAAGGAGCUUCGAGCCAAGCUGGAGAAACUGACCGCUCAAAACGGCUUUGGUCUACAGCGAUUUGCUGGUUCUGACGAGGAUAUACAUUUUUACACAAGAUUUGCAAUCUACACCCACCUGAUGGCCUUCUGGCACUUGAUUGAGCGGGCAGCAGAAACCAAGUUUAUAAGUCACACAAGCACCAAUCCAUCUGAAACAAGUGUUACUCGAAGAAAACUGGUAAGGAAGCUUCUGUCUGAAGCAGAAGGAUUUGGCCCAUCGGUUCAGCAUCCACCAAUCGACAGUGAGACGGAUUAUCAUCUCUUGGGCCAACGUCCUCUACUGUCUGUUUGGAUCAGCACGGAUAUGGAAGGAAACCAUCAAAGCCCACCUGCCACCUGAGUUCAAGGACUAUCCAGACACCCAGGUAGUGAUCGACUGCACUAAACUCCGCUGCCACACCAUCUUCACUACUACUGCAGAGUGAGGUGUUUUCUUCCUACAAGUCACACUGUACCUUUAAGGGCAUGUUGGGUAUGUUACCACAUGGAGCUGUCACUUUUGUGUCAUCGUUGUAUGCUGGAUCUGUGAGUGACAAGGAGAUCUUCAAGCAGUCUGGAAUUAUUUCCUUACUCACCCGACAUGGCCAUUAUGGUGGAUAAGGGCUUUCUCGUAGAUGACAUUGUUCCGUGCAAGGUCUACCGGCCAGCCUUUCUGUCAAGACGCACACAGAUGCCAGCGCAUGAGGUUAGGGAGACCCAAUCCAUUGCCAGGCUGAGAGUGCAUGUUGAAAGAAUGAUCUGCAGAGUAAAGGAGCACAAGCUGUUUGACACAGUCAUCCCCCUGACCAUCUCAGGCAGCAUCAACCAAUUAUUUGCAGUGGCGUGUAGUGAAUAUCAAUUUGUGUGGAGCUUGUAUUGGGUUUAAUUAGGCAAUGAGUUUAGGGGUGGGGGAAAGAAAUCAAGUAAACACAGAAUAGCCAGAAUGCAAGAUUGAAUACAAUGUUAGAGAUGUGUAAUUGAUUAACUGAACUGUUGAACAUUUGCUGAAAUACAUUUUUUUAAACAAA